AAAAGAAACUAACAAGGAUUCCCUCAGUAGCGGCGAGCGAAGCGGGAAAAGCCCGGGAUGAAAAUCUCCUCGGAGAGUUGUAUUCCGAGUGUUCCCAGGGUGGUCAGUGCGGGCAAGUCGUCUGGGAUGACGCGCCACGGAGGGUGAGAGCCCCGUCCAACCCGCACAGGAUCCACCCGUACAGGAACGCUUCAACCGAGUCGGGUAGUUUGGGAAUGCUGCUCUAACAUUGGUGGUAAAUCUCAUCAAAGGCUAAAUAAAAGUGGGAGACCGAUAGCGAACAAGUACCGUGAGGGAAAGAUGGAAAGAACUUUGAAAAGAGAGUGAAAAGCACUUGAAACCGUCACGGGGGAAGCGAAUUGCGUUAGUGAUGUUCUGGCCUGUUCAGCUAUUUGUCGAGAAAUGAAAUACCUUUUUCGUCAAACAGUGUAUUCUGGCAAGAACGUGCUUGUGUGGCUGGCGGGAGUGUGAUGAGACAGUGCGUAGGUAAAUCAUGGUCGUAAAAACACUGUGACGUGCCCAUUCUACUGACCCUCGACACUCUGAAACGCUGGUGAGGGCUCCCUCUUCCAUGAGGUUUUUGAGGACAUGAGCAAAAUGACGCAAUACGACCCGUCUUGAAACACGGACCAAGGAGUCUAGCACGGCUGCGAGUCGAAAGGUGAUUACGAAACCUAUUGGGCGCAGUGAAAGCAAAUCCAGGGGAGUUUUUUUUAAAAUUUUUCUGAACAAAGCAAAUUGGGGAGGCGUUGCGGUUUUACCAACAUGUCCUACCUUGAGCAUCUGUGCUGGGACCCGAAAGAUGGUGAACUAUGCCGGAGUAGGGCAAAGCCAGAGGAAACUCUGGUGGAGGCUCGUAGCGAUGCUGACGUGCAAAUCGCUCGUCGAACUUGGGUAUAGGGGCGAAAGACUAAUCGAACCAUCUAGUAGCUGGUUCCCUCCGAAGUUUCUCUCAGGAUAGCGGGCCGACAAAAAAAAUUUCAUAUUGUUGUUUUGUGUGGUAGAGCGAAUGAUUAGUGCAUUUGGGGGCCGAAGGCCUUCGGGCGAUUCUCAAACUUCAAAUACGCAAGGGGGCCGCUGCUUCACUGCGAACGUGAAAGGGGAGAAAUUUCAUUUCUUUCUUGAUCGUUCGCAAGUAUGAGCGUGCUCUUCGAAAAACGUCGGCUCCGUGGGCCAUUUUUGGUAAGCAGAACUGGCGAUAAGGGAUGAACCUUAAGCGCGGUUAAGGCGCCGCAUUGCCCGCUUAUAGACCCCACAAAAGGUGUUGAUUCAUUUAGACAGCAGGACGGUGGCCAUGGAAGUCGGAAUCCGCUAAGGAGUGUGUAACAACUCACCUGCCGAAUGAAUUAGCCCUGAAAAUGGAUGGCGCUGAAGCGGGCAGCCGACACCGCGCCGUUCAGGCGAAAACAUUUUUUUAAUAUAUAUGUCUGAAUGAGUAGGAGGGCGUGGCGGUCCGUGACGCAGGCGAGGGUGCAAACCCCGCUGAAACGGCCGCUAGUGCAGAUCUUGGUGGUAGUAGCAAAUAUUCAAGCGAGAUCCUUGAAGGGCGAAGCGGGGAAGGGUUCCAUGCUAACAUUGAUUGGGCGUGGGUGAGUCGUUCCUAAGCCGAGUGGCAAUUGCUAAGUAGCGGCGAAAGGGAAGCGGGUUAAAAUUCCUGCACACAGAUAUGGAGGCGGCAACGCAAGCAGAGGCGAAGACGCUGGCGAAGGCGCUGGGCAGAGUUGUCUUUUCUGUUUGACCGACAUGGCGCUGUGUGGAAUCCGAUUAUCGGGAGAAACACGCGCAAGUAUUCAAAACCAACGGGCAGAGCGUCGGGUUAUAUCCGGCGUCCGGCUCGCCUUCGACGGCCCUUGAAAAUUCGCCCGCGGCUUUGGGCCGACGCUAUUUCCCUUUCCUUCUUCCUCUUGGGGGAGAAGGAAAACAAUAGUGCUUGACCCAAUUUUAAAUUUCAUGCUGUGACGUACCGAUAACCGCAUCAGGUCCCCAAGGUGAACAGCCUCUGCUCAAUAUGAAUAAUGCAGGUAAGGGAAGUCGGCAAAAUGGACCCGUAACUUUGGGAAAAGGGUUGGCUCUAGUGGGGUGGGGGUAUUUUUUUAUAAAAUACUCAGGCGCGCCAAUUUUCGGAUUGGUUCGCUUGAGAGGGGGCUUUCGUGUGCCUGCUUGAGGCCAGUCUGUCUGGUUAGGGAGUUUUGCUUGGUCUUUUUCUCCUUGUCUUUCUGGGGGAUUGAAAAAAACUCUUUCGUCUUUUUUCUUCUUUCCUGUCACCAGUUUUUUUUUCAUUCUUUUCGGCAUUUGUCGGGAGGUUUGAGGAAGGGAUUGGCUCUGGGGGAAGCCGAGAGGAAGGGGGGAAUUGUGUUUUUUUUGGUUCUUUGGUUUUUAGGCUGUUGGGGAGGAGAUCAAGUACCUUGGCCGGGACCAGCCAUGAGUCAGGUAUGUGGGAUGCUUUUUCCCGCCCUCAGCAUACCCCAGACUAGAACUGCAACGGGCAAAGGGAAUCCGACUGUUUAAUUAAAACAAAGCAUUGCGAAGGCCGUGGCCGGUGUUGACGCAAUGUGAUUUCUGCUCAGUGCUCUGAAUGUCAAAGUGAAGAAAUUCAAUCAAGCGCGGGUAAACAGCGGGAGUAACUAUGACUCUCUUAAGGUAGCCAAAUGCCUCGUCAUCUAAUUAGUGACGCGCAUGAAUGGAUUAACGAGAUUCCUACUGUCCCUAUCUGCUUCUAGCGAAACCACAGCCGAGGGAACGGGCUCGGCGAAAUCGGCGGGGAAAGAAGACCCUGUUGAGCUUGACUCUAUUCUAAUUUUGUGAAGCAAGUUAGGAGGUGUAGAAUAGGUGGGAGCUAGUCGUUCGGGGGGGGCUCUCGGGUCUUCUCUUGGCUAGCGUCCGUGAAAUACCACUACUCUUAAUCUUGCUUUACUUAGGGCGUAAAACUGUGCCGGGGGGUUUCCCCCUUGUAUUUUUUUUGGUGUUCUGUCCGCGCCUCUUUUUUUCGUUCAUAGCGGGAGGGGGGGGGUUGCGUGUGCAGGGGGCCAAAAAAAUCAAGGUGGGGCCCUUUGAAACAAUACUUUUUUGCAUUGCAUCAAGCGUGCGCUUCGUUUACUCGAGGUGUGCGUGAACAGAGCGCCCAACAGAUUUAGGAGGGGAGUUUGGCUGGGGCGGCACAUCUUCUACAAGACAACGAAGGUGUCCAAAGAUAAGCUCAGUGAGAACAGAAAUCUCACGUAGCGCAAAAGGGUAAAAGCUUGUUUGAUUUUGAUUUUCAGUGUGAGUUGAAAACGCGAAAGCGUGGCCUAUCGAUCCUUUCACGAUUCGAGAUUUGAAGCGAGAGGUGUCAGAAAAGUUACCACAGGGAUAACUGGCUUGUGGCGGCCAAGCGUUCAUAGCGACGUCGCUUUUUGAUCCU
rnacentral:rRNA from 1 species